UACGAAGGGUGCAAACGUUAAUCGGAAUUACUGGGCGUAAAGUGUGCGCAGGCGGCAGAGCAAGUCGAGUGUGAAAGCCCCGGGCUUAACUUGGGAAUUGCGCUCGAAACUACUUUGCUGGAGUGUGGCAGAGGAAGGUGGAAUUCCACGUGUAGCGGUGAAAUGCGUAGAGAUGUGGAGGAACACCAAUGGCGAAGGCAGCCUUCUGGGCCAACACUGACGCUCAUGCACGAAAGCGUGGGGAGCAAACAGG
rnacentral:rRNA from 1 species